rnacentral:rRNA from 1 species
CCCGGUGAUAUUUUAACGGCCGCAGUUAGGAGCUGUGCUAAGGUAGCGUAGUAAGUUGUCCUUUAAAUGGGGAAAGGAAUGAAUGGUUUGACGUGAGAGCGACUGUCUCUAUAAAAUUUGAAAAAAUUUUCUUCCUGGUGAAAAGCCCGGGAUAAUAGUAAAAGACGAGAAGACCCUUUCGAGCUUGAUUAGGCAGCGAAGUUUUUGGUUAGCUGAAGUUUGGUUGGGGCAACCUAGGAGCAAAAAAAGACUCCUUGAGGUUUAUUAAGAUCCAGAUAUUCUGAUAAAAAGAAAAAGCUACCGUAGGGAUAACAGCGUUAUCUUUUCUGAGAGAACAAAUUGAAGAAGGG